UUUUUUUAUUUUCAAUUGUUCUAAAAACUAUAUUCAUACUGAUGUUGUGUUAUUGGACAUAUCCUAUCUCUCUCAUUCAGGUUAUGACCCUAUUAGGAAAAGACAAAUACCAGUAGUCUAACUGUAAGGCUGUCACUUUGGGAUUUUUGUGGCACAAAAUAGAGCAUUGUUCUGUCCUGUUACCAUUAUUAUUAGCAUUUGUAAAGUGCCAACAUAUUCCACAGCACUUUACAUUUACAGAAAGGGGAUAUUUGAAAGCCUUGCUCAAACAAGCUUACAAUUGAUAAGUGC